CCUGGAAUGGCCUAGAGGGCAUUAAGUGAAAUGAGUCAUAGUGGGAAAGCUGAUCCCGCACAUCUGAAAUCGAUUAAGUGAGCCACCAUCUCUUCUCAACAGUCUCAGGAAAGAGGGCUUCCGACUGCUCUGAUCUUUUCAGGCAAAUCAAAGACGUGACUGGUGGCAAAGUCAAGCUAGAGGAAUUCAGCGUAUUCACCCAGUACUUAUUCCACAAAAGUUCAAGCAAUUCAUGAUCCAAAGACAAUUUGAAAUAUAAAACUCCUAAGGCAUAAUAUUUUGCAGUAUACACCAAAAUCUUCUAUUCUAUUAAGCAAAAUAGUCUGAUACUCAAGAAAGUCCUUCACUGAGAGGAACCUACCCUUUCAGAAUCUCUGAAGUGAUGCCUGGCCACGGGGGCUCUCCAGGAAAUUCAAUAGGACCUGAAAAGGGGGUCAACCAAGUA